AACGAACGCUGGCGGCAGGCUUAACACAUGCAAGUCGAGCGCCCCGCAAGGGGAGCGGCAGACGGGUGAGUAACGCGUGGGAACAUACCCUUUAGUACGGAAUAGCCUCGGGAAACUGGGAUUAAUACCGUAUACGCCUACGGGGAAAGAUUAUCGCUAAAGGAUUGGCCCGCGUUGGAUUAGCUAGUUGGUGAGGUAAUGGCUCACCAAGGCGACGAUCUAUAGCUGGUCUGAGAGGAUGAUCAGCCACACUGGGACUGAGACACGGCCCAGACUCCUACGGGAGGCAGCAGUGGGGAAUAUUGGACAAUGGGCGAAAGCCUGAUCCAGCCAUGCCGCGUGAGUGAUGAAGGCCCUAGGGUUGUAAAGCUCUUUCGCUAGAGAAGAUAAUGAUGGUAUCUAGUAAAGAAGCCCGGCUAACUUCGUG
rnacentral:rRNA from 1 species